rnacentral:rRNA from 1 species
UACGUAGGGGGCAAGCGUUGUCCGGAAUUAUUGGGCGUAAAGAGCGCGUAGGCGGUCCGAUAAGUCGGCUGUGAAAGUCAGGGGCUCAACCCUUGAAAGCCGGCCGAUACUGUCGGACUAGAGUCCGGAAGAGGCAAGUGGAAUUCCCGGUGUAGCGGUGAAAUGCGCAGAUAUCAGGAAGAACACCAACGGCGAAGGCAGCUCGCUGGGACGGUACUGACGCUGAGACGCGAAAGCGUGGGGAGCGAACAGG